GACGAACGCUGGCGGCGUGCUUAACACAUGCAAGUCGAACGCUGAAGCUCAGCUUUUGUUGGGUGGAUGAGUGGCGAACGGGUGAGUAACACGUGAGUAACCUGCCCCCUUCUUUGGGAUAACGCCCGGAAACGGGUGCUAAUACUGGAUAUUCACUGGUCUUCGCAUGGGGGUUGGUGGAAAGGGUUUUUUGGGUGGGGGUUGGGCUGGCGGCCUAUCAGCUUGUUGGUGGGGUGAUGGCCUACCAAGGCUUUGACGGGUAGCCGGCCUGAGAGGGUGACCGGUCACAUUGGGACUGAGAUACGGCCCAGACUCCUACGGGAGGCAGCAGUGGGGAAUAUUGCACAAUGGGCGCAAGCCUGAUGCAGCGACGCCGCGUGAGGGAUGGAGGCCUUCGGGUUGUGAACCUCUUUCGCUCAUGGUCAAGCCGCAACAAUGGUUGUGGUGAGGGUAGUGGGUAAAGAAGCGCCGGCUAACUACGUG
rnacentral:rRNA from 1 species